AUGAGCCCCCGCCGCCGCCUCCCCGUGUUCCUCCUCGCCGCCCUCGCCGUCGCCUGCGCCUGCGCCGCCGCCCGCCCCUGCGCGGCCCUCGUCCGCCUCGGCGCCGCCUCCUUCGUCGACGCCCCCGCGCGCUUCGGGCCCCGGGUGACCGGCGACGGGAUAUGCGGGUCGCUGCGCGCCGCGGAGCCCGCCGACGCGUGCGCGCCCGUCAGGGGCGCCCCCGGCGGGAGCGGCGGGAUGGCGUUCGUGUUGAUCGCGCGCGGGAACUGCAGCUUCGAGGGCAAGGUGCGGGCGGCGCAGCGGGCCGGCUUCGACGCCGCCCUCGUCCACGACGACGAGGACAAGGCCAGCCUCUACUCCAUGGUUGGUGAUCCUGAGGGCAUACACAUACCUGCGGUAUUCGUAUCCAAAAUGGCUGGGGAAACUUUAAAGAAGUUUGCUAGAGGUGAAGAUGGUGAGUGCUGCAUAAACUCGUCGAUGGAUGAGACUGCAGGGACAGUGUUGGUGAUGUCGUUCAUAUCACUUGUUGUCAUCAUAUCAGUUGUAGCUUCAUUUCUUUUCGCCCGGAACUGCCGACUUUUACGCCAUGGAGUUGAUAAUCGCCCACCUUACAUCAAGAAGCAUGUGGUGGAAAAGCUUCCUUCUGUGGUAUAUAAAGCUCCCUGCUCAAGUGGCAACAAUUGUGAAGAAGCCUGUGCCAUUUGUUUAGAAGACUAUGAUAAUGGUGACAUGCUUAGACUUCUCCCAUGCAAACAUGAAUUUCAUGUGGAGUGUAUUGAUCCCUGGCUGACGCAGUGGGGCACAUUUUGCCCAGUAUGCAAACUUGAGGUACUCACAGGUGAAUAA
rnacentral:rRNA from 1 species